UACGAAGGGGGCUAGCGUUGUUCGGAAUUACUGGGCGUAAAGGGCGCGUAGGCGGCUCUGAUCGUCGGAUGUGAAAGGCCUGGGCUCAACCUGGGAACGGCAUCCGAUACGGCAGGGCUUGAGUGUGGGAGAGGUUGGUGGAAUUCCCAGUGUAGAGGUGAAAUUCGUAGAUAUUGGGAAGAACACCGGUGGCGAAGGCGGCCAACUGGACCACAACUGACGCUGAGGCGCGAAAGCGUGGGGAGCAAACAGGAUUAGAAACCCUUGUAGUCC
rnacentral:rRNA from 1 species